UACGGGGGGGGCAAGCGUUGUUCGGAAUUACUGGGCGUAAAGGGCGCGUAGGCGGUUUGUUAAGUUGGAUGUGAAAACUGUGGGCUUAACCCGUAGCCUGCAUCCAAAACUAGCAGGCUAGAGUUCUGGAGGGGAUAGCGGAAUUCCUGGUGUAGCGGUGAAAUGCGUAGAUAUCUGGAGGAACACCGGUGGCGAAGGCGACAUCCUGGACCGGUAUUGACGCUGAGGCGCGAAAGCCAGGGGAGCAAACGGG
rnacentral:rRNA from 1 species